rnacentral:rRNA from 1 species
UACGGAGGAUGCAAGCGUUAUCCGGAAUUAUUGGGCGUAAAGCGUCCGUAGGUGGUUUAUCAAGUCUGCUGUCAAAGCGCGAGGCUUAACUUCGUAAAGGCAGUGGAAACUGAUAGACUGGAGUGCGGUAGGGGCAGAGGGAAUUCCCAGUGUAGCGGUGAAAUGCGUAGAUAUUGGGAAGAACACCGGUGGCGAAAGCGGGUCUCUGGGCCGAUACUGACGCUGAGGAGCGAAAGCGUGGGGAGCGAACAGG